GUUAAACCUAGGAGAAUUUUGAUGUGGCCUCCUUGAAGCAAAAGGAUGUAAAAUGUACAGUUUCUGAUUUGAGAAGGAAAUUCCCUGGCCCCUACCCCCAAAGAACCAAAAUAUGAAAAACUGGUUCAACUUUUUUUUUGGUGUGAAGACAACCACCCCCCUACAUCAAACGUUUUAUUGUGAAAAGAAGCAAAAAUGGAAGGAAUACAUUUUGUCUCUUUUACU
rnacentral:misc_RNA from 1 species